CAUACAAUUGCACUAUCUUCAUGUGGGAGCUUGAUUCCGCACUAAGCUCCUGAGACUGCACUUGCUCAUGACAGAAUCUGAUAUUGGAUAUCGCAAAACCUGCACACAGCUUUGAAGAGAAAGCAUGGAUGAGUAGCACUUCAAAUUUAGAGGCUAAAAUUAUAGUUAAGGAGAUAAAAGCUGCUAAUGACUCUACUGAAAAGUGUGUUAAAUAAGGAAAGAUUUUCAUGGACUGUUGAACAUAGAUGAGGAGCAAGAGGAACUUAUAUUGUGCUGUGUUUAAAAACAUCACUGACUGUAUCCAGAUGAUAAGAAAGAAACAAUGAAAAUAAAAUAUCCUCAACAACACCACCCUAAAAACAAAAAGGCAAAUAGGAUGAAGAUGCACCCGCUGAGGAUGAAGCACUAGGAAUCGACAGCAGAAAUGAUAGGACAGGUGUUGAAAAGGGGAAUGAGAUUGCACUAAAGCUGCAAAUGUAAAAACAGCAAUAGAUGUGCCAUCACCAACUACAGAUGUCAGAAAAUAUCCUAUCAUUGAUGAGACAGUUCUGAUAUCCCAUUACUAACUACAUAAGAAGGCUCAGAAAUUGAAAGAAGGCAAUCACAAAGACAGUAAGUCAAGCUAUGGAGAAAGAGUUGUGCACUCAAGCUAAUUCUUAAUGGAAAGAAAUCAGUUCUUCUUCUUCUGCUGCUGCUACAUCAAUUGCAAUUGUAUACUGUUAUAAAACAU